UUUGGUAGCUACCAUAUGUAAAUUUUCAUUGAUGAUCAUCGUUCAUAGAUCCCACACAUUCUUAUAUGCAUGCAUUAGCUACUAUGAGCUUUGAUAUUGGGUACCCAUGUCACUUCUGGGGCAAAUACUAUCACUUCUACAACAAACAUAUCUAAUAGAUGAAUUAUAUCUAGGAAAUGUGGAUCUAUAUUCAUAAUAUCAUAAAACAUUAUAGGACUUGUAUAAUUUUCCAUUUUUAUGAGCUUAAAACUUUAGACCUGGUGGAUACGUUCCACUCAAAUUCACGCCGUUAUUCAAAUGACAGUAGUCUUUUCUCUCCCCCUAAAGGCGGGAAGACUGUCUCAUUAUGACCAUGCAUAAAAAUGCGUUUAAAUGUCUAUCACUUCCUUUCAAGUGAAGAUGUUCAUUGGCUUGUGGUAAACAUAAACCAAGUUUAAGGUCAAAAACAUUAAAUUCAUGAGUAUCAAUCAUAUUGAUAUAUUAUUGUAUCACCAAGAUAUCAUCCUCUGAUAGAAUACUUUUAACCUUUGUAUGUGUAAUAAUCUUGCCACUAUAUUAGGAACUCAGACAUUGUUAAUGACAUUCUAGUCAGGAGAACCAUGGCAUUUAGAUACCCAUUCCUUUCACAAAUCAAAUGGGGUCAAGGUUGUUUUGUUAAUAUGGUUAAAUCUCAUAGACUUUAACCCAAGCAAAUGUUUUUGUGCUAACAUAUAAUUUUGUCAUCACUAGCUUUAAUAAAUAACUAACUGAGAUAUUUAUCCAGCUCAAAAUGAGACAGUAGGUAAAUAUCGUACAACAAUUCAUGUCAUUCUUCAAGAACAAUUUUUCUCCCCCUCAUAACAAGAGGAAUGUCCAAGCCUAGGAGCUCAUUAAGGUGAAAACCAAAACAGAUAUACGGCAAAUGAACAAUUUUCUUAGAGUAGCGUUAGCUAGCGGUCAUCAAGAUUUGUUACUGAUUCCAAGUAACACUUUAUGUAAAAUAUGACAUAACUAGUCAUGUCAAAAUAAGGUAUACUCUGUUCAUUGAACUUUUGGUUCAUGACAUUCCGUGUCUCUCUGUUCUGCAGAAUUUGACACGUAAUAGGCUGCAUAGCGAGAUAUUGUGUACUUUGGACCUCGCCUCACAAUUUUGUUCUUGGGUUGCAACCCAAAAUGCAUCACAAUAUGGGGAGGUAUGUUUGCAACAUGUUAGACACAUCUUCUGCCCUCCUUCGGAUGUGGUGGGAUCUCACAUCACAAUAUGUGUUAUAUAUUCUGGAGACAUACUCGGGGCACUUAAUAUAAAGAGGGGAUAAUAUGUGCUCUUCCGGAGCCAUCAUUCAUAUAUGUAAUUGAAGCUUCAAGCUCGAUUUUAUAAUGUUAGAAUUGCAGGUUCUCAGAAUGUUCGAGAUAUAGGACUGUUAGCCCUUAUGAGUAACAAUAAAGUUUAGAAGAGGAAAAUAAUUAACAAACUCUAAAAUGGUAAGGAACAAGUAUAAAUAAAAUGUGACAAUGGAAACUUCUGGUUCCAUAAGAAGUGCAAGAACUUUUGGUCGAGUUACCUUUACUAAUAUGAUAAUCUUGUUUCUCUCCUCUAAUUUCACAAUAAAAUUGCAUCAAAAUAAAAAGGAG
rnacentral:lncRNA from 1 species